GGCGGACGGGUGAGUAACACGUGGGUAACCUGCCCUAAAGUGGGGGAUAACAUUUGGAAACAGAUGCUAAUACCGCAUAAAACCUAGCACCGCAUGGUGCAAGGUUGAAAGAUGGUUUCGGCUAUCACUUUAGGAUGGACCCGCGGUGCAUUAGUUAGUUGGUGAGGUAAAGGCUCACCAAGACCGUGAUGCAUAGCCGACCUGAGAGGGUAAUCGGCCACACUGGGACUGAGACACGGCCCAGACUCCUACGGGAGGCAGCAGUAGGGAAUCUUCCACAAUGGACGAAAGUCUGAUGGAGCAACGCCGCGUGAGUGAAGAAGGUUUUCGGAUCGUAAAACUCUGUUGUUGGAGAAGAACGUAUUUGAUAGUAACUGAUCAGGUAGUGACGGUAUCCAACCAGAAAGCCACGGCUAACUACGUGCCAGCAGCCGCGGUAAUACGUAGGUGGCAAGCGUUGUCCGGAUUUAUUGGGCGUAAAGCGAGCGCAGGCGGUUUCUUAAGUCUGAUGUGAAAGCCUUCGGCUCAACCGAAGAAGUGCAUCGGAAACUGGGAAACUUGAGUGCAGAAGAGGACAGUGGAACUCCAUGUGUAGCGGUGAAAUGCGUAGAUAUAUGGAAGAACACCAGUGGCGAAGGCGGCUGUCUGGUCUGUAACUGACGCUGAGGCUCGAAAGCAUGGGUAGCAAACAGGAUUAGAUACCCUGGUAGUCCAUGCCGUAAACGAUGAGUGCUAGGUGUUGGAGGGUUUCCGCCCUUCAGUGCCGCAGCUAACGCAUUAAGCACUCCGCCUGGGGAGUACGACCGCAAGGUUGAAACUCAAAGGAAUUGACGGGGGCCCGCACAAGCGGUGGAGCAUGUGGUUUAAUUCGAAGCAACGCGAAGAACCUUACCAGGUCUUGACAUCCUUUGACCACUCUAGAGAUAGAGCUUUCCCUUCGGGGACAAAGUGACAGGUGGUGCAUGGUUGUCGUCAGCUCGUGUCGUGAGAUGUUGGGUUAAGUCCCGCAACGAGCGCAACCCUUAUUACUAGUUGCCAGCAUUUAGUUGGGCACUCUAGUGAGACUGCCGGUGACAAACCGGAGGAAGGUGGGGACGACGUCAAAUCAUCAUGCCCCUUAUGACCUGGGCUACACACGUGCUACAAUGGAUGGUACAACGAGUCGCGAGACCGCGAGGUUUAGCUAAUCUCUUAAAACCAUUCUCAGUUCGGAUUGUAGGCUGCAACUCGCCUACAUGAAGCCGGAAUCGCUAGUAAUCGCGGAUCAGCAUGCCGCGGUGAAUACGUUCCCGGGCCUUGUACACACCGCCCGUCACACCAUGAGAGUUUGUAACACCCAAAG
rnacentral:rRNA from 1 species